rnacentral:rRNA from 1 species
AAGUUGAUCAUGGCUCAGGACAAACGCUGGCGGGGUGCAUGAGACAUGCAAGUCGAACGAGGUGCCAACGGGCUUGCUCGAUGGUUACCUAGUGGCGGACGGCUGAGUAACGCGUAGUGUGACCUACCCGGAAGUGGGGAAUAACUGCCCGAAAGUGGUGGCUAAUACCGCAUGUGGUCGGCGAUUCGGUUCGCCGUCUAAAGGAGAAAUUCGCUUCCGGCGGGGCCUGCGUCCGAUUAGCUAGUUGGUGGGGUAACGGCUCACCAAGCGACGAUCGGUAGCUGGUCUGAGAGGAUGAUCAGCCAGACUGGACUGAGAACGGCCAGACUCCUACGGGAGGCAGCAGUCGGGAAUUUUGCCCAAUGGACGAAAGUCUGAGGCAGCAACUCCGCGUGAGGGAUGAAGGCUCUCGGGUCGUAAACCUCUUUUCUCAGGAAGAUAUAAGACGGUACCUGAGGAAUAAGCGACGGCUAACUACGUGCCAGCAGCCGCGGUAAUACGUAGGUCGCAAGCGUUGUCCGGAUUUACUGGGCGUAAAGAGCGCGCAGGCGGCUGGUCAAGUCCGAUGUGAAUCUCCCGGUCACUGGAAACUGCAUCGGAACUGACCGGCUGAAGGUGGG